rnacentral:misc_RNA from 1 species
GAAAUGCGAUACGUAGUGUGAAUUGCAGAAUUCAGUGAACCAUCGAAUCUUUGAACGCACCUUGCGGCCGCCGGUAAUCCGGCGGCCAUGCCCGUCCGAGCGUCGUUUCGACCCUCGGGGCCCCCCCUCUUGCAGGGCGGCGGCCCCGGCCUUGGGCCAGCGCGUGCCGCUCUCGAGCGCCGCGCGGCCCGCAGAACAGCGGCGGCAGCACCGGCGACGUCCCCUGCGCAGUAGCAUACACUCGCAUUGGUCUCCCGGCGCGGCCCGCCUCGAACCCCAAACUUCUUUAGGUCGACCUCGGAUCGGGUAGGGAUACCCGCUAAACUUAA